ACGGAGGAUCCAAGCGUUAUCCGGAAUCAUUGGGUUUAAAGGGUCCGUAGGCGGGCUAAUAAGUCAGUGGUGAAAUCUCCCGGCUCAACCGGGAAAUGGCCAUUGAUACUGUUAGUCUUGAAUUAUAAGGAAGUAACUAGAAUAUGUAGUGUAGCGGUGAAAUGCUUAGAGAUUACAUGGAAUACCAAUUGCGAAGGCAGGUUACUACUUAUGGAUUGACGCUGAUGGACGAAAGCGUGGGUAGCGAACAGGAUUAGAUACCCUGGUAGUCCACGCCGUAAACGAUGGAUACUAGCUGUUGGGAGCAAUUUCAGUGGCUAAGCGAAAGUGAUAAGUAUCCCACCUGGGGAGUACGUUCGCAAGAAUG
rnacentral:rRNA from 1 species